CAGUCGCCGCGGUAAUACGAAGGGGGCUAGCGUUGCUCGGAAUGACUGGGCGUAAAGGGCGCGUAGGCGGAUUGUUUAGUUAGGCGUGAAAUUCCUGGGCUUAACCUGGGGACUGCGCUUAAUACAGGCAGUCUAGAGUGAGGAAGAGGGUUGUGGAAUUCCCAGUGUAGAGGUGAAAUUCGUAGAUAUUGGGAAGAACACCGGUGGCGAAGGCGGCAACCUGGUCCUUGACUGACGCUGAGGCGCGAAAGCUAGGGGAGCAAACAGGAUUAGAGACCCGAGUAGUCCCUGUCUCUUAUAA
rnacentral:rRNA from 1 species